GGGGAGGAGCCCAGAGCCUGAAUCAGCAUGUGUGUUAGUGGAAGCGUCUGGAAAGGUGCGCGAUACAGGGUGACAGCCCCGUACACAAAAGCGCAUGUGCUGUGAGCUCGAUGAGUAGGGCGGGACACGUGGUAUCCUGUCUGAAUAUGGGGGGACCAUCCUCCAAGGCUAAAUACUCCUGACUGACCGAUAGUGAACCAGUACCGUGAGGGAAAGGCGAAAAGAACCCCGGCGAGGGGAGUGAAAAAGAACCUGAAACCGUGUACGUACAAGCAGUGGGAGCACAGGUUUACCUGUGUGACUGCGUACCUUUUGUAUAAUGGGUCAGCGACUUAUAUUCUGUAGCAAGGUUAACCGAAUAGGGGAGCCGGAGGGAAACCGAGUCUUAAUUGGGCGUUAAGUUGCAGGGUAUAGACCCGAAACCCGGUGAUCUAGCCAUGGGCAGGUUGAAGGUUGGGUAACACUAACUGGAGGACCGAACCGACUAAUGUUGAAAAAUUAGCGGAUGACCUGUGGCUGGGGGUGAAAGGCCAAUCAAACCGGGAGAUAGCUGGUUCUCCCCGAAAGCUAUUUAGGUAGCGCCUCGUGAAUUCAUCUCCGGGGGUAGAGCACUGUUUCGGCUAGGGGGCCAUCCCGGCUUACCAACCCGAUGCAAACUGCGAAUACCGGAGAAUGUUAUCACGGGAGACACACGGCGGGUGCUAACGUCCGUCGUGAAGAGGGAAACAACCCAGACCGCCAGCUAAGGUCCCAAAGUCAUGGUUAAGUGGGAAACGAUGUGGGAAGGCCCAGACAGCCAGGAUGUUGGCUUAGAAGCAGCCAUCAUUUAAAGAAAGCGUAAUAGCUCACUGGUCGAGUCGGCCUGCGCGGAAGAUGUAACGGGGCUAAACCAUGCACCGAAGCUGCGGCAGCGAACGUAUCACCCAAGACAACUUUACGGAGUUGACGAUUGACGGAGCGAAGCGACGUCAAAGCGUUCAUUAAAGUCGAGUUGGCUUAGGGAUACGUUCGUUGGGUAGGGGAGCGUUCUGUAAGCCUGUGAAGGUGUGUCGUGAGGCAUGCUGGAGGUAUCAGAAGUGCGAAUGCUGACAUAAGUAACGAUAAAGCGGGUGAAAAGCCCGCUCGCCGGAAGACCAAGGGUUCCUGUCCAACGUUAAUCGGGGCAGGGUGAGUCGACCCCUAAGGCGAGGCCGAAAGGCGUAGUCGAUGGGAAACGGGUUAAUAUUCCCGUACUUGGUGUUACUGCGAAGGGGGGACGGAGAAGGCUAUGUUGGCCGGGCGACGGUUGUCCCGGUUUAAGCGUGUAGGUGUGUGUUCCAGGUAAAUCCGGUUCACUUUAACACUGAGGCGUGACGACGAGGCACUACGGUGCUGAAGCAACAAAUGCCCUGCUUCCAGGAAAAGCCUCUAAGCAUCAGGUAACACGAAAUCGUACCCCAAACCGACACAGGUGGUCAGGUAGAGAAUACCAAGGCGCUUGAGAGAACUCGGGUGAAGGAACUAGGCAAAAUGGUGCCGUAACUUCGGGAGAAGGCACGCUGACACGUAGGUGAAGUGAUUUACUCAUGGAGCUGAAGUCAGUCGAAGAUACCAGCUGGCUGCAACUGUUUAUUAAAAACACAGCACUGUGCAAACACGAAAGUGGACGUAUACGGUGUGACGCCUGCCCGGUGCCGGAA
rnacentral:rRNA from 1 species